rnacentral:piRNA from 1 species
UGCUAGACACAUAGCAAAUACUUUUAAA